rnacentral:sRNA from 1 species
GGCGGGAUUCUGCUCAGUCCGUUUCUGAUUUAUGUCGUGUUGGCACUGCUGCUGACUGGGGCAUUGCGCAUGCUGUUGCGCAUCACGCCGCUGGGACGCUGGAUCUGGCACGAAGCACUGUUCGACUGUGCCCUG